AGGCCAGCCACUGAAUCUGUUUAUCUGCAUGUGUUUCUGCAGAAAUUGAGAGGACUCUGGUAACAAUAUCGCCACUAUUACAAGCCUUGCAGACAUCAGUCAUUAAGGUCCCUGCAAAUAGCUACACAU
ensembl:snoRNA small nucleolar RNA SNORA33